rnacentral:lncRNA from 1 species
UUGGCACUGUCGGAGUUGGAGGCAGCAUCACCAGUAUGGGCGGACUUGGAGGAGUCAACGUGGCGGGCCCGGUGCAGUCUGGCAGCGAAGGGUAUCCUAACUUAGGUGCACCAGUUUCACCCGGAGCAUCGUACCCAGGAGGAGCUCCUAGCGCAUCGAGCGGAUUUCCCGUAUCCCCCGUCUUUUCGUCUCCGAGUAGCUCUGCAUCAUCAAGAUAUUGGGAUGCAUCUGGGGUUGAACAUGACGCACCAAGCUUCUCUGACUUUGUUCCAUACAGCGGCUCCCACAGAUCGUCGAUCACUGGAGGUUAUGGUUUGGAAAGUGGAUUAAUAUCCACUCGUGCACAUGGCGGAUAUGGUGGUUUCAACAACGUCAACAACUUUGGCAACGGAGGUCAUUACGGCGACGGCUUCGCUUCGUUUGGCAGGCAUGACUCCAGUUCAGGCUAUGGCUCUGGCUACAACUUUGGAUAUGCCUCAGAUCCUUCUCUCUCUCUGGCCAAUAAUCGAUAGACAUUACUAUGUAUAGUCAUGUCACAAAGUGCAGAGUUCUCGGCGGCGCUUUUGAGGAUAUUGCAAAGAACAAAAAAGAUUGCGGACACAGUAAAGGGACACUUCGCAGGCAUGUACUACGGCUACCAAAC